rnacentral:tRNA from 2 species
CGGGGCGUAGCGCAGUCCGGUUAGCGUGCCUGCCUUGGGAGCAGGAGGUCCCCAGUUCAAAUCUGGGCGCCCCGA